GGGGCUAUAGCUCAGCUGGGAGAGCGCCUGGUUCGCAAUCAGGAGGUCGGCGGUUCGAGCCCGCCUAGCUCCA
rnacentral:tRNA from 2 species